rnacentral:rRNA from 2 species
UAGGGAAUCUUCGGCAAUGGACGAAAGUCUGACCGAGCAACGCCGCGUGAGUGAAGAAGGUUUUCGGAUCGUAAAACUCUGUUGUUAGAGAAGAACAAGGACGUUAGUAACUGAACGUCCCCUGACGGUAUCUAACCAGAAAGCCACGGCUAACUACGUGCCAGCAGCCGCGGUAAUACGUAGGUGGCAAGCGUUGUCCGGAUUUAUUGGGCGUAAAGCAAGCGCAGGCGGUUUCUUAAGUCUGAUGUGAAAGCCCCCGGCUCAACCGGGGAGGGUCAUUGGAAACUGGGAGACUUGAGUGCAGAAGAGGAGAGUGGAAUUCCAUGUGUAGCGGUGAAAUGCGUAGAUAUAUGGAGGAACACCAGUGGCGAAGGCGGCUCUCUGGUCUGUAACUGACGCUGAGGCUCGAAAGCGUGGGGAGCAAACAGG